UUCGCCCCGCCGGGCUGCGUGCACGUGAGCGCGCUGCUCGCCCGUUCUAAUUUUAGCAAUGAGGUGUCAGGGUCGUGUGAGGAUGCUUGAUGCUGGUCGGCUAGAGCUAAGAAAAAGCAACGAUUCAGAAGAGGCCAGCAUCACUGAGGUGAAAUCUUCUAGUAGAUGUUUCCUGAGAGCACAGAGAGGCUGUGUUCUAGAAGUGGUCAAGGUUGUACUUCGUGCUGGCGGCCAGAUUUGAUUGAUAACGUGUUAGAGUCACCCAGGUGGUUCUGGUUUUGAAGGCGUGAAGGGAUCACGGAGAGCAGCUGAGGCUUGGCGCUGUGAGGCCAGGAGAGGUUAUUUGUGAAGGAAUACUUGUGUGAGGAUGAAGCUAUCUCAGAAUGACUGAUGUGAAUGAUGAAAACAAGGCUGCUGUUUUAGCAGGGAACAUCUGUCCUCUUGCUGGUCCAGAGGAGGAGGGACCAAUGCGGUAGCCUGUGAGCCCAGCACCUGAACCUUGGUGGAGAGCAGGGUCAGUCUUAUUUUAAAAUUCACUUUAAAUUAACAUGUAUAUGUGUGUAUGAAAGAGAGACAGAGAGAAAGAGAGAGAGAGAAUGAACAACUUGCAAAAUCCAUGGUCUCUUCUUUUAUUGUGUGAGUUCCAGAAAUUGAACUCAGGUCACCAGGUUUGGCAGCAAGCUCUUUUACCUGCUGAGCCAUCUUGCUUGUCU